UACGUAGGUGGCAAGCGUUGUCCGGAUUUACUGGGCGUAAAGAGCGCGCAGGCGGUCGUUCAAGUCGCGUGUGAAAGCCCCCGGCUCAACUGGGGAGGGUCACGCGAUACUGAUCGACUGGAAAGCAGGAGAGGGUAGUGGAAUUCCCGGUGUAGUGGUGAAAUGCGUAGAUAUCGGGAGGAACACCAGUGGCGAAGGCGACUACCUGGCCUGUUCUUGACGCUGAGGCGCGAAAGCUAGGGGAGCAAACGGG
rnacentral:rRNA from 1 species